GGUUUGAUUUUUUUCUCCCCAAUCGCAACUUUCUCUACGAGAUUUUAACCCGCGACAAUUUUUUUUCUUUUUUACUAAUCAAGAGAGAUUGUAAAGCGGAGAAAGAGAUGAAGAAGAGCAAAUUCAUCACCAUCGCUGGUCUAUCUCCACCGAGCAAUCCGCUCAAUUUUACAUCUCUCUUUUGGUUGUUGUCAUUAGGCGAGCUUCUUGAAUUUUAAAAUCUUGACAAAUUUUUUUUAAAAUGUUAAGAAUACGAAAUCUUUUGUUUGUUACUCCCCUCGUUAGAUAUCUUGGGGGAGUCAUACUUGGAAUUGGUGGUCUUGUAGCAUAUCUUGUUAGAGCAUAUGGUGGCCUUACAAUAUGCUGCUCUUACUUUGUCAAGUCCAAAGUUUAAAUUGGGAGUCGAGGUGACAUUUGAUCUUUUAGGUGUUCUUUACAAUCAGCUCCAAGAAAUCCAAGAAAGACUAAGAUAGUGGUAAAGAUGGUACGUACUGCCAUGGCUUAUUUUAAGGUUGAAUUUGAUCCGGUUGAGAAAUUAGAGGAUGCUAUCAAAUGAAACUAUACGUGCGAUGAAGCCGAUUGUUUUGUUCUCUCUGAAUUUGCGAAUCGAGAUUCACCUACUUAGAAGGUGAAGCUAACCGAGUUUUUAAUAUCAUUGAAGUUGACGACCAGACGAACACACAUGCCCCAAAAGAGGAUUCAUCCUGCAUAUGGGAGUGACUAAAAAGAAAGAACUGGUUUAGGUUUCUAUAA